rnacentral:rRNA from 1 species
GACGAACCGUACGAACGUUAUUCGGAAUUACUGGGCUUAAAGGGUGCGUAGGCUGUGCGGAAAGUUGGGCGUGAAAUACCUCAGCUUAACUGAGGAACUGCGUUCAAAACUACCGUGCUUGAGGGAGACAGAGGUAAGCGGAACUGAGGGUGGAGCGGUGAAAUGCGCAGAUAUCAGGAGGAACACCGGUGGCGAAGGCGGGUCUCUGGGGCAACAACUGACGUGAGGAGCGAAAAGCGUGGGGGAGCGAACAGG